GCGGCUUGGUCUGCAAGUGUCAUCACAUUUUAAUAAGAGAACGUCAUAUUUCCUACCUUAAUGGUAGUGAGGAGCAUGCUUAUCACUUAGGCAGUGUUUGGUGACCCAAAUGGAAUCACCGAGGUGAUUUUAGAUUACCGGCAAUUCUUAUCCCAAGGUAAUCUGGUCCUUGAUGAUUUAAGAUCACCAGAUUUAGUAUCCUAUUUUUUAGUGAUUAAAGAUUUUUAGGUAUCCAUGAGUAAGCUGUUUGGUAUUUUAUAAGAAUCUAUGAUCACUCAUUAUAUAAUACCAAACUACCCCUGAUAUAUUCCAUAAAAAUAUAUUAUUAAAAUCACAUAAAUAUAUUAUAAUAAAAAUUUAAUAUAUUUAUCAAUAUAUUUCACAAAAAUAUA
rnacentral:lncRNA from 1 species